AUUAAAUAUUCAAUAGAGCAAUUCCAUUUCUGCCGCUUAUCCUCUGGAAGACCAAUGCUUCAACUUGUUCUUUACCCAGCUCCACAAUCCACGCUAAGAUCUUCUCAAUGGAAAAAUAAAUUACCCAAAUCAAGGGUGGUAGAUAGGAGGAUGGUAGAUAAAAGGAUGGCAUGAAGGGCAUAGAUUGGAGUUCUUUUGGACUGACUUUGGACAAAUAAAUUAAAUACUAGAUAGAUUUUAGAUUACUUAAACUAUUAGUUCUUUUUGGAGAUUUAUUAGUUUUCUUAAUUUAUGUUUUUAUAUUAUAAGAAUGGUUUUUGUUAUUAGAAUGAUUGUUAUGGAUAUGUUAUUUUAAUAAUAAGUAAAACUUAAUUCGAAAUAAA